ACACUGAGGGUCUGUGGGGAGUGAGGAAGCCCCACUCCAGCCAGAGGGUCCACAAACUAUCCAGAUUUACAGGCGUUUUGGCCCUGUGCUUCUGGGAAGUAUUCUCACGUCAGGACCCCUUUGUCCUCAAGGGUUCCUGAGUGUAGAGUCUGAGACUUGUUCUGAGGCUCAGGCUUCAGGAGGAUAGAGUGAAGACCUGGGAUCAGAUAGGUAAAGGUGAGGGCUGAGGGAGGACCAAGGAAGCCCUACCACAGAAAAAGGAUCCCAGAACAUUCUAAAAAACCCUCUGCUGCCUACCCUCUGAAUGUGCAGAAUCUCCAGAACAACCUCUUUCACCACUCUGGGACCUGAAAGGAAAGCAGAGUCUUGUUCUGAGGUCCCUGCUUCAGGUGGAAGCAACAUAGAAGAUCAGGGUCAGGUAGGUCUAGUUGAAGGGUUGUGGAGAACCAAGGAAGCCCCUCCCCAGGUAGGGGACCCACAGGUGAUCCAGAUCUGCCCCGUAUCAGAGCUGCAGCACACUGGGGUAGAUUAAUGAGGACCAGGCCCUGCCCUUGUCAGCCACAGGGAUCCUGGGAGUCACGGCCUGGUCCUCAGGUCUGUGCUCCUGUGGGGACUGAGACAGGACCUGGGCUCAGUUAGAGCCUGGUGAGGGGCUGCCCUGGGGGGACUGAGGAAGCCCCACCCUGAUGGCAUCCAGAAUAAUCCAGGUCUGCCUCUGCUGCCCUUCUGUGCCCCAGGACAUUAUUCUCAGGAGUUCCAGGAGCCAGGUGGUGAAGUUCUUCCUGUGAGGCAGUGUCCCUAGGUCACACAAUAGAGGAGGCCCAAGAGUCAAGGUCAUCGUGAUGCCCCACGGCAGAAGAGCCAAGACAGAAAGCUAGGGGGAGUCCAUCCUGCCCAAAGAAGCACAGUCAUCAUGAGUGUGCCAGUUCUCAAGGAUGUGGAGGAGGAAGCAGCAGCCACUGCUUUCGGCAGAGGAGCCAAGACAGCAAGCUGGGGGAGGCCAUCCUGCCCAAAGAAGCACAGUCAUCAUGAGUGUGCCAGUUCUCAAGGAUGUGGAGGAGGAAGCAGCAGCCACUGCUUCCUCUGCAUGUUCUACCUCCUAUUCUAUAAUCAGUCCCACACCAAAACAAGAGCUAGAGCUUUGGAUACUAAGUUAUCUUCAAAGUUGUGAGGGCAUCCUCUCUCCCCCGACUGCCAUGGCUUCUACACCAGGUCUUGUAGUAGCAAAAUGACAGGCAAGUGUGGGUUACUGUCUUGAGCUUCUGGAAUUAACCAUGGAAAACAACAAAAGAGGAAGAGAAAGAGAGAGAAGACCUAGCAAACACACAGAAGCAACAAACAUGUAAACAUAACAUGUAAGUAAAAAUAUGUAAGUAAACAACAAAGCAUGAGGACGCCCUGGGGGAGACUGAUUCCUGGAACUGGGGAGGGCCAGGGAAGCUGGGGCCUGCCUAGGUAGCACAUGACAGCAUCAGUCAGGAA
rnacentral:lncRNA from 1 species